UCUGUUAAGGAAGUAAUGCGCAUGCUCUAGCCGAGAUCAAUAUCCCCGGAUGAAACUGCAAAGGAACAGCCUCCCCCGAGCCUUUGCUCCUCUCGCAUGUGUAUUAUAAUUCAUUAGUCUGAGACUAGAAGUGGACGCGUUACGUCGGAUGCUCACCCAGAUGGAUGAAGAACACUAGUCUCCAUGAGAACCAUUGUGGGAAAUUAUUUAAUGAAGUAAAGAAACUUUAAAGAAAGUUAAGCUGUAAAAUGUGAGAAGAAAUAAAGCUUGAGAUGCCCUCUGAAGGGAGCGACAGCUCAGGCUGAGAGCACAGCAACAAUAGAAGCUACAAGGAUCCCUCAAAAGCUAUCGACACUCAGAUUCUGAUGAGUAAUUUCUGAUGGGCUAUUAGAUUGAAGAAAAAGUUGACUACUGGCAUGCAUGGAUGGUGGAAACCUUGAAGACCUCACAGCUGAUUCUCCAGACUCGAUUUUCAGCAGUGCCAAGGCAUAGGCAAAGGUGGCGCUUCAUCUCUCCAUCUUGGGCUUUGCCGAGCCCAAAACAGCCCCUGGGGUAAGUUAUAAUAGUCCUGCGCUACUCUAACAUAUGCUGCCUGAAGCUAUCCCGCUGGCGUGGCGGCGUCCUCUCCUCUCCAGCACACUCCCCUGAAUCCCCGCAUAUCUGGGGGUUGGAGGGAGAGUGAGUAGCAUAAAGCCAGCUUUACACCACUGUGGGAUUGCCCUAUGAAGGGACUCCCCAGCUGUCCCUUUAUGCUAGCUCUGAGCUGUUAUGCACCAUUGGACUUGGGCCUAGAUCCACAGCGUAGGAUGAGGAGCUGAUCUUGCAAGGUGCUGCCUUGCCCAAUAGGCAGGUGUAGCCAGGACUCUACAUGAGGGAGCUGUUACUUAAACUGGAGCAAUUAGUGAAUGGGGAGGAAAAGGUGGUAAGUGACUUGCCAUAGUUCUAUUUACCAUUCAAAGCCUGAAUGUAGGAGCAGCUGAAUUUUUGGAGACAGCAUGAAAAAAAAGGGUGGGGGGAGUGGUACAUAGUUUGAGCAGAAGCUUCCUCGAAGCAACAAAUGGGAAAAGACAGGAAGCGGCACAUGCCCCUAAGCAAACAUUCCUAGUGGAGGGUCAAUAUUUUAACAAGGGAGUCCUCCAGGAUUGCCCCUUUGCAGACUGCUAUGCAUGCAGUGGGCCAGGGGGUGCAUGAGUCCAUAGAGUAGGAGGGGGAUGAUUGGGGAAGCUACUCAUUUGUUUUCCAGUUUUUAAAAAAUACGCUCUCUCAUAGCCAGCAAGGGAGCCAGCACCACUUGGCCCUCCCAGGUACGUACAUGCCCCCUUUUUCUGGUGUAAGGAGGGCAGGUGUGCAAGAACGUAUGUGUG